AUAGAACUUGUUUGUGUUUGGUGGGGGUUGUGCAUGUCUUUGUGGGUUUUGCUUGUUUGUUGUUUGGUUUGGGUUUUGUUUUUAUCGUGGUUGCUAACACCUAGUUCUGUUUCCACACUAGAGCACAGGCAAGUGCUUUGCUCCAUGCUCAGAACACCUUCAGGACACCCAAAGUGGCAGGUGUCUCUCUUGCUGAGGCCUGAGGAUGCAGUGCCAGUGCCUGGGGAUGUGGAUGAUGCUGAACAGCCAGUUUAUCCUUUGAGCUUGGAAACAGCAGUGGCACUGGGAAAGGAUUCUUCAUCCCUGCAAAAGAGCUGAGAAGCUGUUUCUGGGACAGGUGAGAGGCAAUUUGCUGUUGAAAUGAACAUCCAAGAUCAAGUCCUCGUUUGCAAAAAAGAAAAUACAAGUGAGGAGAUUGUGGUGUUGGUAGUGGUUGGGGUUUUACUUUUUUGGUUGUUGGGGGUGGUGGUGUUUGGGUUUGUGUUGGUUUUUGUGUUGUUUGGGGGAGGGGUGUGUGUGUGUACAAAACAGUGAUGUAAAGUGGCUACAGUAAAAAGGGGUCUGUUGGGAAGAGUAAUAUUAAAUGUAGUGAUUCUAUAGAAUUGUCUGAUUCUGGUACACUGGAACAUAAGCCAUGGACAGGUGAGAGUGCAUGAGCUCAGAAGUGCUGAGCUGAGAUAGAAUAGAAGGUUGGAGUGACCUUAGAGAAUGGUGUAACAAAUAUUAACAAAUGUAAGGCUGGAGCCUGUGGUUUUCUCCUGUCUCUGCUGGCUUGGGUUGCUUAGACACAAUGCAGGGAUUGUUGAGAGAAUAUGAUGAAUGUCUAUGCCAAUUAGUAUGUAAUUUCUAAUGCAAAUACAUGUAAUCAGUUAGUUUAAUACCAUGUGUAGCCUUCUGAUGAAAGGUAUAUAAACAUGUUUGGAAUACAAUAAAUGGAUUGAACUUGCUUGCA